rfam:Tupaia chinensis contig2286, whole genome shotgun sequence.
GUGCUUGCUUUGGCAGCACGCAUACCAAAAUUGGAUUGAUACAGAGAAGAUUAGCAUGGCGUCUGUGCAAGGAUGACACGCAAAUUCGUGAAGCAUUCCUUUUCAUC